rnacentral:lncRNA from 1 species
UUCCGGUCAAAGCCCGGAGGCUCGUUGGGGGAAGUCUCCGGGGAGCGCCGGGCACUAGGGUCGGGGGGCCGGGGCAGGCCUGGCGGAGGAUGCGGGUGGACGGGAAGGGGCCGGGCAGGGCUGCCGAGGUGCCAGAGGACGACCGUUAGGAGCGCGGGGGUGGGAAGGAGGCGGGCCGCCCGGGAGGACGGCGUGCCCUUCAGGGAGGGGGCGCCAGGUGCGCGAGGCGAGGGGCGAGGGGCGAGGGCGUCCUCCCUCGGGGCCGCGCCGAGGAGGGGCCGGCGGGAGGGCGGACGCACCGGGCGGCGACGGCGGCAGCGGCCUGGGCAGAGAGGCGGGAGGGUCCGUGCUGGCGGCCCGCGCGCUCGCUCUGGCUCUCGCAGGCUCGGCGCGGCCGCCUCAGCGUCGGGGGCGGGCCUGCCCCGGGCCCGGCGGCGGGCCGGGGUCCGCGGGGCCGCCGAGCGCUUACCGCGGCGGGCGGGCGGCGCGAGGCUCCGGUCCCGGGGCGUUGGCGGCGCGCGGCGGGCCAGGGGGCGGCGGCGGCGGCGGCGGCGGCGGCGACGACGACGGCGGCGGCGGCGGCGGGGGAGGGGGCGCUGGCGCUCCCGCGGCGGCCGCUCCUCUCUGUUUGUGUUUGUAGCAAGAUGGCUGCCCGCCUCGCACCACGUGACGCGGACGCGGGGCCGCGGGGCCGCCCCCUCCGCCGCCGCGGCCGCCUCUGCAGCCGCCGCCGCCGCUCCCUCCGUAGCCCCGGUCCCCGGCGACCCGCACGGCCUAGCGCCCGCCCCGCCUGCCCAGUGGGGAGCCCUGGCGCCCGCCGCCCCCGAAAUUACCCCCCCGGCACGUGACCCGAGGCCUGGCUCGUCACGUGACGCAGGGCCUGCAGCGGGCCGGGGUGGGGGGUGGGGUCCCCGGGGCACUCCUCGGCUGCCCCCCGGCUGCUCCCGGCACGUGACGCGCGACCGUCGCGACGGAGGCCGCCGCAGGUGGCAUCGCAGGGCUCGCCUCUCCAGUCGGUUUCCUCCAGGAAGCCCACCUGGAUUGAAGGAGACAGCAUACGAUCCAGAGAUUGUGUCCUGGGUGAUGGAAGUUCCCAGCAGCCAAAUCUCUGAAUGA